AUUCGGGGUGAGUGUUUUGCUUUCCUUCUUAGAGUCAUAUUCUCUGUUUUUUUUUUAACCCUACUGUUAAACAAAACUUUGAGGGUAUAUUUAAAUUUUGUGUUGUUAUUCUUUAAUUACAUUUUGUUUCUUUUCUCAUUUUUAUUAAUACCUUAUUUUAAAGGAACAAAUCUGAUGUUCAAGGACAAGUUGUUGUUUUUUCCUUUUUAGUUUCAUUUCUUUUCCUUUUCUGCUGUUUCACAAGUUGAAUUUUUUUUUUUUUUAAGCUUAUGUAACUCACUACCUAGACAAGACUUUCUACAAUCUAACAACAGUAGCCCUUCAUGACUGGGCUACUUACAGUGAGAUGAGAAACUUAGCUACUCAGCGUUAUGGACUGGUUAUGACAGAGGCACAUCUUCCCAGUCAGACUUUGGAACAGGGCCUUGAUGUUUUAGAAAUUAUGAGAAACAUUCAUAUAUUUG
rnacentral:sRNA from 1 species